UUCCGGUUGAUCCUGCCAGACCUGACUGCUAUCGGAUUGAUACUAAGCCAUGCGAGUCAUUGUAGCAAUACAAGGCAUACGGCUCAGUAACGCGUAGUCAACCUAACCUAUGGACGGGAAUAACCUCGGGAAACUGAGAAUAAUUCCCGAUAGAACAUUAUACCUGGAAUGGUUUAUGUUCCAAAUGAUUUAUCGCCGCAGGAUGGGACUGCGGCCUAUCAGUUUGUUGGUGAGGUAAUGGCCCACCAAGACUAUUACAGGUACGGGCUCUGAGAGGAGUAGCCCGGAGAUGGGUACUGAGACACGGACCCAGGCCCUAUGGGGCGCAGCAGGCGAGAAAACUUUGCAAUGUGCGAAAGCACGACAAGGUUAAUCCGAGUGAUUUCUGCUAAAGAAAUCUUUUGUUAGUCCUAGAAACACUAACGAAUAAGGGGUGGGCAAGUUCUGGUGUCAGCCGCCGCGGUAAAACCAGCACCUCAAGUGGUCAGGAUGAUUAUUGGGCCUAAAGCAUCCGUAGCCGGCUCUGUAAGUUUUCGGUUAAAUCUGUACGCUUAACGUACAGGCCGCCGGGAAUACUGCAAAGCUAGGGAGUGGGAGAAGUAGACGGUACUCGGUAGGAAGUGGUAAAAUGCUUUGAUCUAUCGAUGACCACCUGUGGCGAAGGCGGUCUACUAGAACACGUCCGACGGUGAGGGAUGAAAGCUGGGGGAGCAAACCGGAUUAGAUACCCGGGUAGUCCCAGCUGUAAACUAUGCAAACUCAGUGAUGCAUUGGCUUGUGGCCAAUGCAGUGCUGCAGGGAAGCCGUUAAGUUUGCCGCCUGGGAAGUACGUACGCAAGUAUGAAACUUAAAGGAAUUGGCGGGGGAGCACCACAAGGGGUGAAGCCUGCGGUUCAAUUGG
rnacentral:rRNA from 1 species